AGAGUUUGAUCCUGGCUCAGGAUGAACGCUAGCGGCAGGCUUAACACAUGCAAGUCGAGGGGCAGCACGAGGUAGCAAUACUUUGGUGGCGACCGGCGCACGGGUGCGUAACGCGUAUGCAACCUACCUUUAACAGGGGCAUAACACUGAGAAAUUGGUACUAAUUCCCCAUAACAUUCGAGAAGGCAUCUUCUUGGGUUAAAAACUCCGGUGGUUAAAGAUGGGCAUGCGUUGUAUUAGCUAGUUGGUGAGGUAACGGCUCACCAAGGCAACGAUACAUAGGGGGACUGAGAGGUUAACCCCCCACAUUGGUACUGAGACACGGACCAAACUCCUACGGGAGGCAGCAGUGAGGAAUAUUGGUCAAUGGACGCAAGUCUGAACCAGCCAUGCCGCGUGCAGGAAGACGGCUCUAUGAGUUGUAAACUGCUUUUGUACUAGGGUAAACGCUUCUACGUGUAGGAGCCUGAAAGUAUAGUACGAAUAAGGAUCGGCUAACUCCGUGCCAGCAGCCGCGGUAAUACGGAGGAUCCAAGCGUUAUCCGGAUUUAUUGGGUUUAAAGGGUGCGUAGGCGGUUUGAUAAGUUAGAGGUGAAAUACCGGGGCUCAACUCCGGAACUGCCUCUAAUACUGUUGAACUAGAGAGUAGUUGCGGUAGGCGGAAUGUAUGGUGUAGCGGUGAAAUGCUUAGAGAUCAUACAGAACACCGAUUGCGAAGGCAGCUUACCAAACUAUAUCUGACGUUGAGGCACGAAAGCGUGGGGAGCAAACAGGAUUAGAUACCCUGGUAGUCCACGCAGUAAACGAUGAUAACUCGUUGUCGGCGAUACACAGUCGGUGACUAAGCGAAAGCGAUAAGUUAUCCACCUGGGGAGUACGUUCGCAAGAAUGAAACUCAAAGGAAUUGACGGGGGCCCGCACAAGCGGAGGAACAUGUGGUUUAAUUCGAUGAUACGCGAGGAACCUUACCCGGGCUUAAAUUGCAGAUGAAUUACGGUGAAAGCCGUAAGCCGCAAGGCAUCUGUGAAGGUGCUGCAUGGUUGUCGUCAGCUCGUGCCGUGAGGUGUCGGCUUAAGUGCCAUAACGAGCGCAACCCUUAUCUAUAGUUACUAUCAGGUCAUGCUGAGGACUCUAUGGAGACUGCCGUCGUAAGAUGUGAGGAAGGUGGGGAUGACGUCAAAUCAGCACGGCCCUUACGUCCGGGGCUACACACGUGUUACAAUGGGGGGUACAGAAGGCGGCUACCUGGUGACAGGAUGCUAAUCCCAAAAACCUCUCUCAGUUCGGAUCGAAGUCUGCAACCCGACUUCGUGAAGCUGGAUUCGCUAGUAAUCGCGCAUCAGCCAUGGCGCGGUGAAUACGUUCCCGGGCCUUGUACACACCGCCCGUCAAGCCAUGGGAGCCGGGGGUACCUGAAGUGCGUAACCGCGAGGAGCGCCCUAGGGUAAAACUGGUGACUGGGGCUAAGUCGUAACAAGGUAGCCGUACCGGAAGGUGCGGCUG
rnacentral:rRNA from 1 species